AUGGCCUCCGUCUCUGAGCUCGUCUGCGUCUACUCAGCCCUCAUUCUGCACAACAGUGAGGUGACCAUCACAGAGGAUAGAUCAAUGCCCUCAUUGAAGCAGCCAGUGUAAAUGUUGAACCUUUUUGAUUCAAGAGGAAAAUGCCUGUUUGCAAAGGCCCCGGCCAGCGUCAACACUGGGAGCCUCAUCUGCAAUGUAGGUGCUGGUGGACCUGCUCCAGCAGGAGGUCCUGCCCCCUCCACUGCUGCUGCUCCAGCUGAGGAGAAGAAAGUGGAAUCAAAGAAAGAAGAAACCGAGGAGUCUGAUGAUGACAUGGGCUUUGGUCUUUUCAACUAAACCUCUUUUAUAAGGUGUUCAGUAAAAAGCUGAACUUUAAAAA